rnacentral:rRNA from 1 species
AACGAACGCUGGCGGCAUGCCUAACACAUGCAAGUCGAACGGCAGCACGGGAGCAAUCCUGGUGGCGAGUGGCGAACGGGUGAGUAAUAUAUCGGAACGUGCCCAGUCGUGGGGAUAACGUAGCGAAAGCUACGCUAAUACCGCAUACGAUCUAUGGAUGAAAGCGGGGGAUCGCAAGACCUCGCGCGAUUGGAGCGGCCGAUAUCAGAUUAGGUAGUUGGUGAGGUAAAGGCUCACCAAGCCGACGAUCUGUAGCUGGUCUGAGAGGACGACCAGCCACACUGGGACUGAGACACGGCCCAGACUCCUACGGGAGGCAGCAGUGGGGAAUAUUGGACAAUGGGCGAAAGCCUGAUCCAGCAAUGCCGCGUGAGUGAUGAAGGCCUUAGGGUUGUAAAGCUCUUUUUACCCGGGAUGAUAAUGACAGUACCGGGAGAAUAAGCUCCGGCUAACUCCGUGCCAGCAGCCGCGGUAAUGU